AUCGGAUACGAUUAAAGGACACAUGCAGAAGUCGCCGACGAUCCAACGGCCUGCAGAGAGCUAUGCGCC
rnacentral:sRNA from 1 species